rnacentral:lncRNA from 1 species
GAUACUUUUGUCACUGCAAUCUGGCGCCCAGGCCACCGUCCCAAGCCAGCAUGACUCCCGCCUCCUGGAAUUCCAUUCAUCUCUUUAGGAAAGGACGUCAGCAGCCUCUACUUUCCCUGGUGAGGUCGUGUCAGGGAUGGCGGGAGAGACCAGGAUGCAGUUAGAAGCAUCACCAAAUAAGGAUCUCGGCACAGGCAGUGUGGGGGAGGUGGGGAAUCCAGGGUUCACCUCCCUUCUCUUCAGUUACACCUGGCAGGACUUCUAAAUGCUGGAAACAUCCAGGAGCUUACAUUCAUCAAACAGUAAUUUCACUCUUCUUGCGUUAGGAGUGUUGUGUGACCAUGGGGGUGCUGGUGGAGUGUUUUCUAGUUACUCAAUAUACACAUCAGUGUUUCCAGCAGAUAAGCACGUUCCUAGGACACAAGUUCCUUGGAUUUCAGAUGUUGAGAGGCAAGAGCAAAGGGUUCUACCGGAUGAUUAAGACAAAUCAGAUUCCUGUCCUGGAAGUCAUAGGCGCUUAUUCAUCCACACAGAUCUGCAGAUUUCGGUACCUACUUCUCCAGAAUCUACUUUGCUCAUGAAAGGAUGUGGAGCAAUACAGUAUUUUUGGAAAUAAUAGAAGAUUUCUUGGAAGUGUGGACUACAACUUGUUGGAAUGUUCCUGAGACAGACUGUGACAUCUUUUCUGAAAUGUUUAUGGGUAGGUGGUUAAUCUGGAAUUUUGGGCUAGGUGUGAUCUCACCCCGUGUCUUGGAGAUUUAUUGAGUGUCCUCCAGAGGUCCCUGACAAUGAAGAAGUUGAAUGAGCCUGCAAAUCUGUGAAACAAUGGAGUUUCCAGCACUUCCAUGAUGAAGUUGGCUUCUGAUGCUGAUUAAACUCAUUUCCCCUAAAGAAUUUAACUUGUCUGAAAUUUGAUAUGCUACUUCAAACUACCCAUAUGUUAAUUGUAAUUUUUCAAAUUUUUUGAACAUUCUUCACGUGUACUUUCCUGAUUAAGUGAUAUUUCCAUUUUCUAUUUUUUUAAUUGGAAGAAAAUUAAAGAGUAAGACAAGUGGACUCCAUUCUUGCUGG